rnacentral:lncRNA from 1 species
UUUCGACAUCAUUUGCCUAAUGAUCAAAGAGUUUCAAAAUUUGUAAUUUUAAUGGUCGAUAAGAGGCGUUUUCUCGUUUAACGACGUAAAGAUAUUCAAAUCAAUUGAAUUUUUGUUAGAAAAUUCUUUAAACUAUUUAAAACAAGAUCUAUACUCUUGAUCUUGAUUACAAGACUCCUAUCAUCAUUUUUUAAAGAAUAUUCAUUUUCAACCAUUCAUUUUCUGUUCACUAGAUGGAUAAAAGAACAAUAUCGAAAGUGCGUGAAAUUUGAUUUCUAGGUAGUUUAAAUGGUUUAGAUCAUAUUUAACGGAGCCGAUCGUCAAUUUGGAAGCUCUAUCAUCGAAAACAAUUCGAUAGUAAAAUGCUCCGUUUACUAUCAAGAGUAUUCUAACUCAACUCUAUAUAUAUAUAAAUCAAGUAUGUGCUUAGAUACGAUAGUAUCAUAUAUUGACUUCGUCAACACUCUAAUUACUUUGGCUUAUGUUCCAUGCAUGCAUUCCCACGUGCAUCUUAAUUUACUUCACUUGAUUUUUGAAAACUUUACAUACAGUGGCAUAGCCAUAUAAAAAAAAUGUAUUAUUAUUUUAAUUUUAUCUUUUAUUUAAUUAAUUAAUAGUUAACAAUUUAAUUUUCACUACAUUGAAUUAGCUUUCUUUUACUGUAAACUUGUUAUUACUGGUGAUCUACCAUAUAUAGUUUGUCCAAAAUCAUGCUUACUAUCGGAUAUUCGAUAGCUGAUCAUAUCAUGUGCACUGACUAAAGCUACGUAUCAUGCAAGAAUAUUAAUCGUAAAAAUGAUUGAUGACGGAUGUGCGAGGAUUGGUUUCAAUGCUACAUAUGUUACUUAAAAAAGAAUGAUUUAAUAGGAUACGAUCAUGAAUUAAUGCUAACACUAUAAGUUAAUUCAUCUUUUCCAAUCCAAUAUGGGAAUAAUAUGGAAAUCCUUUUUUUUUUCACCUAAAAACCUAAGCAUCGAAUCUUGAUAACCUUAACCUCUGCACUAAAAACACUUUCUAUCUAAGCUAAAGUGGUUUAAUUUUUGCGUCCUAUUUCAAUUUGCGUAAUAACACAUAAUAAUUCAUCAAAUUCGAAUUUACGAGCUUAAUUAUUCUAUAGAAAUUAAAUCAAACCCAAAUAGUGUUGUCCGCAACUUAGGGGCUGAUUGGAAGUGGAAAGUCGAAGAGCGAGAACUAGACUUUCUCUCCACUCCAUCGUAUUCGAGAGUUCAUGGUAUAUCGAAACAAAUGCUGAUAUCGACAACUUUUCUCGUAGUCACAAGUUCAGCCUCUGAAAUCCAAAAAAAUAAAAAAACGGAACAGAGCCCUAGCCGAAAAGCCAAAUUAAGGUCAAGAUAUGCGGAGAAAAUGGACAACUAGGGGUACAUAAAAUAGAGAAAAAUGCAUGCAACUCAAUUCAAAAAGGUACGGAGAGAAUCAAUCCAACUUUUUCGAGAGUCAUAAAGCCUAAAUUUUUUUAUUUUUUUAUUUUAAUUUGCAUGAAACAAACGUUACAAUUUUGCUUCUUCUCAAAGUAGCGAAUCCAAAUGUCGAAAAGUUAGGAGAUUUCUCUAUGACUUGGAUUAAAAAAGGCUUAAAAAAGUAGUGUCUUUAAUUUUAUAGUAAUUAUUUUGUAGUCUCUAAUGGGCAUUAGUGGUGUGAGCAAAAAGCGCACAAAUUAAAGCAAAGAUGAUAGAAAUUAGUGGCCUUUUGUCAAAUAAAAAAGUCCAAGUUUUGAGACUUUAGAGAGAGAGAGGGGAUAAAUCCAAUUUGUGGUGUGUGAAUGAUGUCAUUAUUUGGAUUUUUAGGAUAUAAAAUUGAGUUCUUUUUGAGGUGGAAUGAUGUCACUAUUGCCAUCUCGAAUUUAGAUAAGAUUUAUAGGAGUUUUUUAAAAAAAACAAAUUAGGUGCAUAAUAUAUAUAAAAAAUUCAGAUAAAUUAUGUCACAUACAAUAAUAGAAUAGAUGACAAAGUGGAAACUCUUAUAAAUUUGUAUUAUUAAAUGGCUGAUGUAAAAAUUGAAUUUCGAAUCGCAUAAUUUGAAAAGAUUUAAUAUAUAAUGACUCUAAUAUCAUGUCAUAAAAUGAUAUCCUUUAUGAAAUAUUGUACUUCUUAGUCAUGCAUAAUAAUGUGUUUAGUAGUGUAAAAAAAUAUUUUUAAUUAAUUCUACUAGUAGUAUGAUCACUACUUCUAUAUAUAUAUAUAUGACGGCUAAAUUGAAGGGAAAAAAAAAAUCAUGUUUUAAUUUUGCCCUGGCGACAACAAAAACAGAAAUAUGGAGAUAUUGAAAAUUUUCAAACGUGUUUCUCCGCAAUCACCGCAGAUAACUCUUUGUUCCGACACCAACUUAUUACGAUCUUGAUACGUAAUUUUGUACUCGCACUCACUUAGUUGCAAUUAAACAUGAAGGUUUAUUAUUAUUUUUUUUACAUUGUGAGUAAAACGACAAACCAUAUUAUUCUAUAAAAUAUAUAGACAUAUUUAUGUGUUAAUUAAAACAUACGUUUUUAAAAAGGUUUAUUUAUUUAUUUAUUUAUUUUUUGGUCUCAUGUGAAAAAUCCAAAGGCCACCACAAAGUAUAAAAAGGAUGACACUGUGUGAACACCACUCACAUGUGCACACACCAUUUUUGAUUAAUUAUUUGCGUGUAUUGAAUUUCAAACCGUAUACCAUGCACACGGUUUGUUGACCAUUUUGACCAUGUUGUACUUCCUCAUUUGCACGUGCGAAGGAAAAUUACUUUCACUAUUUUUUGAAGUAGGGGGGGUAUGAACAUCCCCAUAUGGGAAAAGUAAUAGUUUGGAGCUGGUCCACACGGUUUAUUUAUUUGUGAAUUAAUCAACAAUUUACUUUUCACACUUUAUUAUUUGAGAUUCAAGAAAACUACUGGUUUGAACAUUAAACGUGUGUUAUUAACCAGAAACCUCGAUAUGAGUCGCAGUAAUUAAGAGACAAAAAUAUUUAUAAUCUAUACAAAUCGUGAAUGUUUUAGCUCAUUCAUGUGCUACAAAUGUUUCAAAUCUAUUUUAUGUAAUCGUGAGUGAUGUUAGGUCCGUGUAUUUUUAAUUAGUAUUAUAAACAUUGUUACUAAAUUCUUUAUUUAGAAAUAUGGGUGGGUGCAAUUUAAACUGAUCAUUUGCUGUGGUUUAAAAUGAUUUCGAUUAGUGUAAGUGAGAUAAUUUGGACUCAGGUUGAAAUUAUUUAUCUAAAAAUACUCUUGAAACAUCCUGUGUAUGUAAUAUCUUUUAUGAGCUACAACAAAAUUCAAUCCAAUCGAAUUCAUUCCAAGCAAAAGAGAUCACGCCAAAUUAAAAUCAAUUAAUACCUAAAAUUCAUGGAAUCACAAAUCAAUUUAUGUAAUUAUUUUAUUUUAUUUUAUUUUAUUUUUCUAUGUGAGGAUAUACCACACCACACUUCUUGUUGUUCCCACACAGUAAUUUUAUACAUAAGAUAAAAUAAGAUAAAUAUACAGUGAAGAGUAUAUCCUUUUAAGUAUCAUUUGGUUUGGGAAUAAGCAAAAAAUGGUUAUUAUAGGGAUAUGUAUAAAUUAAAGUAUAAGCGGAGAUUAGAUCAAUUUUGCGUUUGUGUGAAAAUUAGGUUAUUUCGGUGAAUAAAAAAAAUAGCGUUUGGUUAGGUAAGAUGGAAUAAGAAGGAUAAUGAGUUUAUAUAAAAAAAAUAAUGAUAUUACCCUUUUAUUAUAUUUGAAUUUAAAUUUUUAAAUUUUUAAAAAUUCAGAAUUGAAAUUAAAUUAAAAAUUAAACUCAAAUUUUAAAUUCAAAAUUUUUAAAAUUUAAUUUCAAACUUUAAAUUAAGAUCAAAUUUAAUUUGAAAAUAUAAAAUAUAAAAUUUUAAAUUUUAAAAAUUUAAAAAUCAAAUUUAAAUUUAAAUUUAUAAUUUAAAUUAUUUAAACUUUAAUUUGAGAUUACAAAUUAUAAAUUUUAAAAUUUUAAAUUUUAAUUUUAAAAUUUUAAAUAAGAAUAGGUGGGGGGAACAAUUAAUAAAAAUAAUUUAUUAUAAUAAAUUUAUAAAUUUUUUUAAAAUUCUACUUAAACUUAAAUUUAAUAAAAAGAAUUUAUUAUAAUUUUUAAAUAAAAUUUAUUAUAAUAUUUAAAUAUAAAUAAUAUGUAUUAAUAUAGUACAAUUAAUAAUUUUAUAAUAAAAAUAAUGUAUUAUAAUAUAUAACAUAAUAUAUUUAUAUAAUUUAGUUUUAAUUCAAUUUAUAAUUUUAAUUAAGUUUGAAAUUAAGCAUUGGAAUAACACUAUUCCACCAAAAUGGUGGAAUAGCAAAUCCCUUGCUAUUCUGAAAUAAUCGGGAAUAGUAAGGUUUGAUCGGAAUAAAAUAUUCCGGUAAAACAUCAUCCUAUUUGGCGGAAUAGCGAAGAUAACUUUCGUUAUCCCUACUUAUCCCCCGAACCAGACGGGGCCUUAGUUGCUAUUUCACAUGAUAAAUAAGAUAUUAACUACAUGACAAAUGAAGUGUCUAUCCUUUUUAGGUGCCUAUUUUACAUGAUAAAAUAAGAUAGGGCAUAUAAAUAUCUUUUUUAAAAAUAUAUAAUAAUAACUUGUACCCAAUCAUCAAGUAGAUCUGAAAGAGUGAUAAAUGCCAAUUAUGCCAAGUGACAGCUGUCAUUUUUCAGUCAAUUAAAUAAGCAAUUUUAAUGAUAUAAUAAUAAACAUGCAUUAAAUUGAUCUAAAUUAAUAAAGACCCAUUUAAAACAAAUAUUUAUUUCAUUUUGGUAUUUAUCUAAUAUUUUUUAUCUAUUUAAUUUGAGUUGCUUAUUUGCUUUCCAUCAUACAAACAAGCCAUCACACUAAGCUCUAAUAAUAAUAUAAAAACUUUCAAAAAUAAAUAUGUUAAAUUAUACGAAAUAGCAGCUGUUAAAUUUUACCGCUCAUUAUCAUCUAAAACUUUUUUUUUUCUAAAACUCAAUCUAAAACUUUUAUAUUUCCAAGAAUAAAACUUAUCUGAUUAAGAUCCAAAGGCCCCUCACAAAUUUUACAAACUAUAUUUGCUGAUGUUUUAUACAAUUAAUCACUUUUUUAGCCCAAUAAUUUGUGUUUAAAAAAGAGAAGAAAAAAAGCAGAUAAUUAUUAAACAAAAUGCUCAAAAUGUGAGGAGAAAAUUCAAUCCCAUCACAUCAAAUCAAAAUAAAAAAAACCACUUAAACAUGGUUGGCACCCAUCUACAUACUUUUCACCCAGCAAUUAGGCACAACUUAAUUUGUCCACGUCUAAGUUUUAUAUAUACACGGAGGCCUCCGUGUUAUCAAGUUGUUUUCAAUGAUAUCAUUUUCAAAUCGAUGAUUGGCUCCGUUCGACUUGAUCUACACUAUUGAAAGUAUUUGAAAACUAAAUUUUAUAAUUUUUCGGUAUCAAUUACCUAUCAAACGAGUAAUUUAAAAAAUAAACGGCUAAAAAUAAAAUCUCAUAGAAAAUGAUGAUAGAAGACUUGAAUUUAAGAUCAGAGGUACUGAUCUUAUUCUAAAUAGUGAAAAAAUAAAAAUAAAAAUUUUAUUUGAUUGGGAUUGUUUUAUAUCGUUAAAUUCACAAAUGCAUCACAUCUAUUAUUAAAAUUGUCAAUUUUGAGACAUUUUGAUCACUAGCCAAAUGAUGUCGAAAAAUUAUAAAGUUUAGUUUUCAAAUAUUUUUAAUAGUAUAGAUCAAGUCUAAUGGAGCCGAUCGUCGAUUUGUAAGCCGCAUCAUUGAAAACAACUUAAUAGCACGGAGGCCUCCGUACUACCGAUAGUAUACCAGUCUAGCUCUCUCUCUCUCUCUCUCUCUCUAUAUAUAUAUAUAUAGAAUUAGGCUGAAAUACUAUUAAUAGUAAAACGUUCUUUAACUCUUGGAUGAAAAAUUGUAGGGUCAGGAUGAUAUUAGUCGGUUAGAGUUGAGUGGUCCCCCUAGGGUUGAGUGGUCCCCACUGGGUUAUAGUAUUUAAUCCAAUGGUUAGAAAUAAUGAAAAGAGUUGAUCCAAAGGCUAAAAAACUGGUAGCAACAAUGAAAUUUUGCUACUAAUAGUAGCCCAGUCCAACUCUAUAUAUAUAUAUAUAUAUAUAUAUAUAUAUACUAGUUGAGCGUACGUGCAAAUGCACGUAACAAUUAUUUUAAUUUAUUUUAAAUUAAUAAAAAUUUGUAAAUCAUAUUUUUUUAAAAAAAAAAUAUUUGUAAAUUUAUAUGUUAUAUUUUAUUAGAAAAUAUCUACGAUAUCAAAUUUAAAUUUUAGUAUAAAAUAGAUUGAUAGAUUUGAAAUCAAAAAUCAAAAAUUAAAUUUAAUUCACGAUUUAAACUCAAAUUUAAAUUUUAUUGUAAAAUAGAUGGAUAGAAAUACUAUUUUUUAACAGAUUGAUAUUCUGACAAAAAUUUAGAUAAGCAUGAAUUUAUAUCUAUUUUAGAGAUAAAAAGAAAUUAAAUAAAUUUUGAAUUAAAACAUAGAUUCACAGUAUAUAUCUUUUGGUUGGCAAAAAUUUGGAUGAGUAUAUAUUUUUUCUAUUUUAGAGAUAAAGAGAAAUUAAAAGUUUGUUUCAUUACGUUAUUUAUUUUACGUAAGAAAAUAAGAAUUAAAUUUUUUUUCCCGCCAAAAAAUGGGUCUGUCGACAUAUCAAAAUUUGAAAUACGUGAUUUUAUAUAUAGUAUAGAUAUAGAUAGAUAAUAUAAAUAUUAUAUCACAAAUAGAGAUAAAGAAGAAUUAAAUAAAAAUUCACAGUAGAUAUUCUCCGAUUGGCAAAAAUUUGGAUAAGCAUAAAUUUUUUUUCUGUUGUAGAAAUAAUGAGAAAAUAAAAGUUUGUUUAAUUCUGUUAUUUAUUUUACGUAAAGAAAGCGGAAUUAAUUCUUUUCCCGCCAAAAAAGGAUCUGUCGACAGACCGAAAUUUAGGGCUUGUUUGGUUCAUCCAUUUUGGGUAUGGAAUGGGAAUCGGUUUGAUUAAAUCCGGUUAAUUUUGUUUGGUUCGCAUGAAUCGGUUUGGGAUUCCUAUUCCGGACUGGAAUGGGAAUGACUCAUUAGCCUUCAACUUGAUUCCGUUCUUCUAGCCCGGAUUGAGAUUUCAUUCCGGAAGCCCACUAAGUUCUUGAAGCCCAUGUGACCAUCUCACCCUCCUUCUCUUCACUCCUUUCUCAUCAAAAAAAAAAAAAAACCUAUCCUCUCUCAAAUCUCAUAUCCUACCACAUCAAUAAAGUUUUUAAAAUAAAUUUGAUAUUUUUUUUAUAAAAUUUAUUAGAGAAUAGUAUUAUAUUUUUCAUAAAUUUUAAAUAAUAUAAAUUUAUAUUUGAGAGUAAAAUUAGUAUUAUAGUAUUCUAUAAAUUUUUUAGUUUAUACGAACCAAAUAAUGAAAUGUGAAUAACUCAUUCCAAUUCUCAAUCCAUAAAUAAACCAAAACGUCUUGGGGGAGUGGGCCAUUCAAUUACCAUUCCAUUCAUUCACAUUCCAUUAUCCUUCUAAUUCCACCCUUGAACCAACAUACCCUUAAAAUACGUGCUUAUAUAUAUAUAAUAUAUAUAUAUAUAUUAAUAUAUUAUAAUAUAUAUAUAAUAUAUAUAUAUAAUAUAUAUAUAUAUAUAUAUAAAAAGCACGUAUAUUCAAAUUUGGGUCUGUCGACAGACCCAUUUUUCGGGCGAAAAAUUAACGCCCAUUUUUCUCUUUCCGUGACGAAAAAUUUUAAAUAUAAGAAUAAAAUAGAAAUAAAAACAGUAUAAUCAAUACGUAAGUCUCUAUAAACAGAGUUUAGAGAUCUGAAAAUCCUAAAAUAUAAAAUUUUCUAUUUAAUCUAAAGUAAAAUUUCUAUAACAGAUUACGAGUUGUGAAAAAUCCUAUAAAAGAUAUUUUUUUAUUUUAUUUUAAAAUAUCUUUUUUAGAUAUUAAUCUAUUUAAUUUCAAAAUAUAUAUUUUUUAAGAUAACAGAUUUAUUUUUCUAUUAAUUUCAAAAAUUUAUUUCCUAACAGAUUUAUUUUUCUAUUUAAUUUUAAAAAUAAUUUUUGCAUUAGAGAUUAUUGUUAACUAUUUAUCAUUUAAAGCAUAUCUUUCUUAAUAGCGUGAUUUAUUAUUUAAAUUUUUUUAGAUUAAUAUUUGGCAAUCAUAUAAAAUAUGGCUAAAAUUAAAAAAAAUAAUUAAAAAAGUAUAACGUUUUCUAAUAAAUUAUUACGGGCAUUUGCACGUAAUUUAUCUAGUACUAUAUAUAUAUAUAUAUAUAUAUAUAUAUAUAUAUAUAUAUAUAUAUAUAUGCGGAGAAAAGCUAGGACCAGUUAAAAGGUUGGAAAUUUCUAAAUGGUUUUGCUUAUAGGCAACUAAAGCAUUAAAUGUAAUCCACCCCAUCAAAAUAAGAACAUCGAUCGGACGGUCCCGAUCGAUCAAUUUAUUCUAUAAACUAAUUGCACCACUCAUGGAUAUAACAAAUCAUCCUGACUUAGUCUGAUAUUUUUAUUAGUUAUAUGUGAUUUAGGUACAAAUGCAAUUCAAUAGCCAUAAUUAGUUGUUUUGAUUUUAUUUACUAACACAAGCAAUUGAAGCCAUUCGAUCUAAUGGAAUCCGUGAAUUCGAUAAAAACUUUUAAAUGACUAUUUCAGUUUCAUUUACCGACUGUCUCUAGCGCAAGUGGCAAAAAACUUAGUGAUUGAUAUCUGAGGUUCCAAGUUCAAAUUCUAGUUGACUCGCAUUUUCAGCUAAGUUUAUUUCUAAAUGAAAUAAACGAAGCGGGUAGCGUGCUACCUAUCUCUCUCUCUCUCUCUAAAAAAAAAAGAGACUAUUUCAGUUUCAUUUACUAAAACGUAACUAGAACCAUCCAAUCAAAUAAAAUCGGUGAAUACGACAAAAAUUCUCAAAUGACUAGCCAAUUUGAUUUCAUGUACAAAAAGGCAAUUAAUCAGAAACAUUCAUUCGAACGAGUUUGUCCACUUCGAUAAAACUUUAAGAAAACGAGAACCAUCUAAUCAAGUAAAAUCGGUGAAUACGAUAAAAAUUUUCAAAUGACUAGCCAGUUCGAUUUCAUGUACAAAAAGGCAAUUAAUCAGAACCAUUCAUUGUAACGAGUUUGUCGACUCUGAUAAAACUUUAAGAAAACGAUAAUACAAAUAUACUGUAUCUAGUCAUGAUUUAGACUUUGUAACUCUGAUAGUAACAUAUAUAACUACUUUGUCAAUAUCAAUUUGUUCUCUCAUGUAUCUGACCUAUGACUUAUUAAGACUAGAUGUUAAUGUGAUGUUAUUAUAUAUAAAAGGACAAGAUUUAUGUGAGGAGUGGGAGGGGCCCUUUUUCAAAGAAGUUGCCGCAUUGGACCAAAUUUGGCACGUUUGGGAAUUGGGGAACCCCAAUGAGGAUAAAUAGCUAGGGGGGGUGAACUAAAUGUGAGGGGUGUGGAAUAAGACCCUUUCACAAGUGCUCCUUUGAGUUACCAAGAAACAAAUAAGAACAAUUUAGAGAGAGAGAGAGAGAGAGAGAGAGAUGGGGAGAGCUCCUUGUUGUGAGAAGAUGGGGCUAAAGAAGGGGCCAUGGACACCAGAAGAGGACCAAAUUCUAAUAUCAUAUAUACAGAAGUACGGGCACGACAACUGGCGCGCGCUGCCGAAGCUAGCUGGUAAAGUUUCUAAUUCUAUCUUGUCUUUUCUGAUCCUUACUGUGGGGGGCGUCUCGUCUGUUUCGCAAAAACAAAUGAUCUAUUGGUUCUCUAUCUUGGAAAACUUGUUUUUACUGCUCAUUGUACUUGUAGAUCUUUUCAAGUAUGUAAAAAAUAUAUAUAUAUAUAUAUAUAUAUAUAUAUAUAUAUGCUUGAACUUUAAUUCUCUCAUUAUAGUAAGAAACAUGAAAUUGUUCGCCAAAAUUGAAAAAGGAAAAGGCCUACGAUAAAUUUUUGAUCUUUCGAUUCAAAUCUUCAGGUCUCUUGAGGUGCGGGAAGAGUUGCAGGCUCCGAUGGAUAAAUUAUCUGCGACCGGAUAUCAAACGCGGGAACUUCACCGCGGAGGAGGAGGAGACGAUCAUCCGAUUGCAUGAAUUGCUUGGGAACAGGUAGGGACCCAAAGUUCUCUUUGAUCCAAACAAGUUUGAAUUAGGAUCAUAUUUGAUCAUUUCAUUUCAUUAAAACAUCUACAUAUAUACAUAUAUAUGUUUCUUCAUUACAUGUCUUAAAUUGCUUAUUUUACAAAGAACAAGAUGUUAUACUGCAAAUGUUCUCUUUUCUUCUUCUUCUUUUUUUUUUCCCCUGUUGUUAAAUUAACUUUUUAAUUUGUGGACAAAAAUGUGCUUGUCCAAAAUUUUAGGUGCAAAGACUUUUCAAUCUAAAUUUGUCAAAGCAAACAAAUGAAUGAAAACUGACUCUUUUCAAAAGUCCAAAGAAAAAUGGAGGACUAAUUGGGUGAGACACCCAAUUUUCUCUCUCACACUGUACACUACAAAGUUUUUUUUUUUUUUUUUUAAUUUUAAGACUAUUUUUGAAUUAUUUUCUAGUAUCAGAAUUAGUUUUAAGAACCUUUCAUUUAACUGGUUCCCAGUGUGAUUUUCAUUUCUACCAUUUUUUGGCGUGUAUUUAUAUUUAUUAUUUCGUAGUCUUUUCUAUAAUCUCUAUAGUCUCUGCACGUGGCAUGAUUUAUUCGGUAUCGAUCGUACACAUGUGUAAGAGUGUUAAGAGUAAUUCUAUAUGAUCUCUUUUUGUGCAAGGCCACUUGUGAAUACUAAUAAAUGAACUAGUUCUAAAGAUUCUUUUGGAUUUGGCUUUAGCAAUGGCAACAAUAAUAGCUACUAUUUUCCCCUUACUCAAAAACAUUUAUAUAUACAAAUAGGACCACAUGCAUUUCUUAAACAAACUAAUCAAUGCCCCUACUAUAAUUAGUACACUUUAUUAAUGGCUAUAAUUAAUCUCACUGUCACAAAAAAACAAAUUCCCAUUAUAAUAGUAUAUCAGGAGUCGAAAAUAAACAAGUUUAUGAUCUUUUAAUCUCAAUUUGUUUAAUUAGAGAAUCAAAAUCUUCUGACGGGAUCGCGCCUCCUUUUUCGCUCCCAAUUUUAUUAUCUAUUAUAGCCGUCACUCACGUUGUUGCCAUUUUUCUUUUCUUUUCCUUUUUUUCAAUGAAAAGGUGGUCCACGAUUGCCGCGAAACUUCCAGGGAGGACAGACAACGAGAUUAAGAACGUCUGGCACACCCAUCUGAAAAAGCGGCUCGGACCUGAACAUGCGAACCACGAAAAGAGGAAAGUGGUCCAGUCCACAACGCCGUCGGUCCCGCAAACUAACUCAGAUGAGGAGCACCAAAGGUUCUUCGGUAGCCCCGAACAGUCGUUCAGCGGCUUAUCAUCGUCUACUGCAACGGAAUCCUCCGGCGGUAAUUUCGGAGCCAAGGAAGAGAGCUUCUCCUCGGAAGCGGUUCCGGAGAUCGACGAGAGCUUCUGGUCGGAAACAAUUUCGGCGUCGGAGCUGUUCGGCACCGUCGACACGUUGAACUACAGCGAUCAUACGGAUUUUUGGCUAAGGGUUUUCUUAGAAGCUGGAGAGAUAAAUGAUCUGCCUCUGUGAUUAGGUCAAGGGAUUCUUUAAAUUUAGGAGCAAGGGGAAAUUAAAUCCAUUAACUUCACAUUUUAACUUUUUUUUUCUUUCAUUUAUUAUUCUUUUUUACCCCCUCUACUUGGUUAAAUGGUUAAGUAUGAAGAGAUAUACUGUGAGCCAAGAAGAGGCAUUGUACUGUUGCAAUGAGAGUUUGAAAAAGUAGCCGUUAAGGAUGCAUUAUAAAUACCUUUAUUUGUAUAGAAGAGAGGAGAGCCUAGGGUUUGAUGAAAUUUUGCCAAAAAAGGCAAAAACUUUGUAAUUGGCAAACUUUUUUUAGAAGCUACAUUUUUAUCUGUGCAACUCAAAUUUAAUAUCUUCUUUAUAGUAUAAAAAAAUCAUAAGGUUACAUCUAUGGUGCACCUAAACCACAACACAAUAAUAAGAUAUAAUAAAUCGUAGAUUUCUCGUGGUGGCCGCUUUAGAAAUUCUUUUUAUGCACAUACGAAAAAGUUUAAGUACAUAUUUGAGUUUAUUUCUGCUUCUACUUUCAGUUACAAUAAUUGUUAUCAAAAUGUUCAGUUUCAAAACUAAAAGUUUGAAACUUGGAGGUUUUACGGAAGCAAACAAAUCCUAAAUCUUUUGCUUCUAAACAAAUCCUAAAUCUACGAAUUUAAAAUUUUAUUUUUAGUACAUUAAUGAGCAAUUAAAUGGGAUUAUAAUGAAAAAGUUGUUUUAAAAAAAAACAUAUUAACAACUUUAAUAACUACUAUAAUAAAAUGCAUUAAUUCAUGGUCAAGCAUCAGGAGAUCCAUGGUUAAUUGGAAAGAGCAAGAAAAGAGUUGUACACUCAAUCCAAAUUCCAAAUUCAAUAAAUUUGGUCCAUAACUUAACAACUAAUUAAUCAAUUAACAUCAAUCAGGACAAAUAUAUAUGCUUAAACAUAGAAAAAAAAAAAUCAAACUUAAAAGGACACCAAUAAAAAAAUGUGAUCAAUGAUUUGAAAGUGACUAAGUUGAUUAAUGGGCCUAAUUAAUUACUAUUAAGCUAGCUAGCUACUUUUCUAAAGCUAAUUUAUAGUCAAGCGAUAAACAAUAAGAUACUUUAAUAGCAUCAUGACUCAAUGCACCAUUUGAAUAAUUAACAGUAAAAAAAAUCGUUAUUUAUCCAACUUUGAUUGCGUCCAUACCUAAUUAACUAGAUAAAUUAGUUAAUUAGUUAUGUAAAAGUGAGAAUGGUUAAUCACCUAACACCUUUUCUUCUUCUUUUUUUUUUUUGGGUCUUUUCUUAUGAAAGUGAAUCACCUAACAUUAUAUAAUUGCCUAUUGAUUGAUACUUGUUUCCUUUCGAUUUUACCUAGUCGUGUUUUCAAACUCUCACUAGUUUCACAUUGUAUAUGUCAAAUAUAAAAUAUUAAAAUAUUAUUCUCUAAUCCAGGUUUUUAGAGAUAAAUGAUUGUUUCAUACAUUAUCAAGGUCUUGAAUCUUAUUAGCCUCCUAACUAAUUGAAUCUGACUUAUUAAAAAGUUCCGAGUCCAAACAUACAAGAAGCCGUCAAAUAUAAAAUAUUAAAAUUAUUUUUUUUAAUAGCUUGAGUUUAUAGAGACGAACGAUCAUUUCCCGAACAUGCAAUUUAAUUAUCCUAAAUAUUAAUUACUAUCGAAACUUCCAAAUUUCAGGUGAUCGAGAAGUUUGAAAACUUGAUAGAUAUUUGACGGUAAACUGAUUGCUCAGAUGAUAAAUCCUAAUAAUGGUUUAUGACCAUUGGAAAGUUCGCGAAAUUUAAUCAACCUCAAUGUAAACUUUUAGUUAAAUUCUAGGAUCAGUGUACACAGUUAGGUGAGUCUGAUUGGUAAUGAAGAUGACUUUGAGACCUUCAUUAAAUUUUUCUCUCAGCUCAUUACAGAUUGUCAAGCACAUGCAUGUAUGCAUGGUUUCACACAUGCAGGAGAAAUGAACUUAGACACUGCUGCUGAAACAAAGACUCAGGCCUGGGAUUCAACUUUCUGGAUAUAGCAAGUCAGAAACCAGCUGCAGAAUACAUUCAGCUUCCUGCGGCGGCGGCGAACCCGGCGCUCACAUGUGGCGGCGUAUGCGGAUUAGCGGCGAAUGCAGAUCAGGUGAAAUGAAAAGUACUGACUGUACACUCUAUUAUAAGUGGAAAAUCUUAAACUCACUCUCAUCCAAUAGUUCGUAAAAACUCUCUUGAAUUUUUAGUACUAAAAAAGCAAAAAGUUGAUAAGACGGAUAGGAGAAUAGUAGCGCUUGGAUGAGUAAGAUGUAGAUCUCACACUUAAUCUAGGGGUAUAUAGAUAGCAUUUCUCAAAAUCAUCGCCAACCAGACUAUUCCUAAAUCAUUUCUUGUCGAGUCAAUUUCUUGGGCAAUAUAUAGUAUAAAAGACAAACCCUAAAGCCCCCACCCCGCCCUCCCCGCACCCGUUCUAAGAUGUCUAGAUGCUAUUGUCCAGAACAUAGAUUCGGUAAAAAAUAAUCUAAAAUUAUACUCGACACUCUAACUCGUAUAUAUGAUAAAUAUAAAAGACACGUAAAACUGAUACUGAUACGUGAGAUGAGAUCUUAGGAUUUGGCUCCCAUAAGAAAACGCAUGAGAGUACAGAAAAUGUGUUCUCACGAGCUAAACAGAUAACAUGCAAUGAUUAAAAUCCACAACCUUAGAAAUUGGAAGAGUUUAGUAGUGAUUUCGAUACUAGGUUACGUAACAGAUCAAUCUAAUGAAAAGUCACUUAGAAAUAGUCCUACCAUUCAUUACAUUUGGUCAAUUAUCUUACAACCUAAAUUUCUUCCAAUCCUUAAUUGCUCUUUACUAAUUCCUACGAGUAGGUACCCGCUAACUAACUGUAAGUACGGUUCACUGACGAAGGAGCUGACAUCUUUUCUUCUUUUUUUUUUUCGAUUCGAGGCCACGGUUGCCUCAUUCCUGUAGCCUAAUUCAACUCCUCUAUGAAUAAAAAUGGAUAGCGUGCUAUCUUUUUCUCAUAAAAAAAACUAUUAAACCCUUUACCACCUGCGUUAGGGACGGCCGGUUAUUCUUAUCCGAAUUUGCAUUUGAAAAAAAAAAAAAAAAAAAAAAAAAAAAAAAAAAAAAACCUCCUACGGGUAGGUGGCACAAUUGGCUAAGACUUGAUGGUUAGUACCCGGAAAUCUAAAUUCAAAGUUUAAUUAUUUCACACAUUUAACUGAGUUUAUUUAAAAAAAAGAAAUGAAGCGAAUUGUUUGCUACUUUUUAGAAAUACUAUAAUUUUGCAUUAAUUGUUAAAAGCCGUAUUUGAGUCACGGUGAGAUGGAAUAUGAUCUUUUAAUUAUUCUCACAAAUAAAAAAAUUGAAAUAAUGGAACAGCUUAAAAGCCGCCAUCAGUGGUUGGAAAUCUACAAGAAUUGCUGAAACCAGACAAGUAAUCCCAAUAUAAGGAAUUUACAAGCUAAGUUCCGACCGAAUAGUCAAUAACCCUUGCAGUCAAUAACCUUAGUGUACUCUUUUUCCAUGGAAGUUUUAUUCUACUUUUAUUUACAUAAAAUAUCAGCUUUUUUUUUAAAAAAAAAAAAGAAGCUAAAGAUUAGGUCUUAAUUUAAGAGCUAUAAUCCUGCGACGAAGAAGAUGAUAAGAUCAAUAUCUCUACAUUGAACCAUCAAAUGAUAUAAUUGUAGAAUUAUAACCAAAAAGUGAUUGUAAGGAUAGUUUUUUUGUAGGAUGGACAUAAAAAGCAUGACAAGGUGGAGUUCAGAGGGAAAGCCUCCGAUCCAACAGGAAGUGGACUACAAUUCAAGAGUAAAAAUAACGCCGCCUCGCGUUUAAAACGUGUCACAAUCUCAAAGGACUCUUCUCUUUUCGCCAAGGCGAAGCCGAGAGAUAUUAAGACAGUUUUUGAACCAUUUUCGCAGCGAAACAUGGUAUCUCUUCAAUUCCCUAAACUCCAAGACGGCUCGGAUUUAACUUGUUUAACAGGUUGCAUUCUCUUUAUUUUGUAAAAUUCUUAUUCUUUACCUGUUAUAUUAUCUUUUCUAUUCUUCACAGCAAGCAAACAGAUGUGUCAGAGAAAAAAUGUUAAGCCAUUUUCUGCUAAACACUCGUGACAAUCCCUAUUUGCACCACCAAAUAGAUACCAAAUCAGUUGGAGACGAAAAAGGAUGGUGCUUCCAAAGCACUGCGCCAACAUCAUUCUAUUUAAACAAUUUUGAAAUUUUUUGAAAUAGUAAAAUUGACUUGAGAAUUAAUAACCAUAUUAGAUCUUUCCACAAAUUCCUUUUUUUACCCUCUAAACAUCGCAAGAAGAGUAUUGACAAAUUCAAAUUCUAAAAGAACAAAAGAUAAUUUGAUAAUGAGUUGGUACUUAGCCAAUCUUAAUCAAAUAACAGGGAGAGUGAAGUUUUACCUAACAGUGCUAUAUAUAAAUACAGUUAGUAGUUAUCAACUUGAGCAAUUCUAUACUUAUCGAUUAGUUUUACAAACUUUUACAAAUUUGGUUAGGCGGCGUUAAAUCAUUGACGAGUGUUUACAAAUCUCAAUACUAAGCAAUAAAUCCAGCCAUUUAAUAAUUUUUGUUUGGGGGUGGGGGUGGGUUACAGUUUAGAAUUUCGCUUGCAUCAAUGCUCAUGACUCAUGCAACCAACAAAACUUGCACAAAAAAAUAAAUAAAAAAAAUAGUGCUAUCAUGUUCCACAAACAACAAGAAUGAAGAGAAAAACGAGCACAAACAUCUAGAGAUGCAGCUCGAUGUCAACUGCUUGCACAGAAGCAAGGUUUAAUUUAUUCCAUACCUGACCGGUCAAGCGCUGUAAUGAAGUUUCACGCAGAACGUGAUUUAAUUAAGAGAGGCACGAGUAGGCUAGAGCUUUCUCCUCGGCCAAUUCCUGAGCUGUUGCAUCCAUUUUCUGCCUCGAAAAUUCAUCGAUUGGGAGACCUAAUAACAAAGAAUUAAGUUAGCAAAGAAACGGAAUCAGUACCUGUUACUGAAAUUACUAUCUUUUCCAAAGAUAAUGGAUACUAGCAUAGGCAAACUUUUAGAACUAGCUAUUAACCUAAUAACAUCUUAUACCAUACCACAAAGAAAGGAAACUCAGGCAAGGAAAUUGUUUGCUGUGGAUCUCUAGGUCUGUUUGGCUCCGUAAGUUUUAAACAAAAGAGAUAGAUGAAGCUUGUAUGAUGUGUAGAUUACAGAUAUCAAGAACUACAGUAAAGGCAAGAGCAAAAUUCAGAAGCAUGAUUCACCGCAAAGAGCCAAGCAAUGUUUGAACUCUCGAGAAACUAUAAAAGAACAGUUGAUUUGCUGGGAACUUGUACAAGGCAAGUGCGAAACACAUGAAGAAAGAAAGAGUAUUUGCUUUCAGCUUUCUUGAAAUCUAUUGCAAAGAAGCAUAAAAAAAAUUGUGACCGCGCACAAAUUUAAACCACAGCUACAAUGUUUUGAUAUUGAAAAAUGUUAACAAACAAGCCAAAAUUUAUGAGCUAGGAGAAGUUAUGUUGCUACUAUCUAAAAUAGAAGAGAUUCUAUAUUAUCAAUAUACCUUGAACAAUUGUCCACUCGCCAUUACGGCAUGUGACAGGGUAAGAGUAAAUGAGUCCAGCCGGCACAUUAUAUGAACCAUCAGAAUACACACCCAUGGAAACCCAUGUUCCCUGUAAUUAGUAAAUUGAAAAAUUGUAAGAUAAUUUUCUACCAAAUAAGGAACCUUUUCUGACAAAAGGAGAUUUAACUAUUAGAAAUUGACCUCUGGUGUCCCAAGAACCCAAUCAUGGAUGUGAUCACAAGCGGCACUAGCAGCAGAUAAAGCACUGGAAAGCUUUCUUGCUUUGAUGAUCGCAGCACCACGUUGUUGAACAGUCGUGAUAAACUCUCCAUUAAGCCUAUGCAUAAAAUAUAACAAAUUAAUACUCGAGCACUUCCACGUAUAUUUCUUAAAACAUCACACAUGUAUAUAUGUGGAUAUAUCUGCACAGAUUACCACUCAUCAUCAGCGACAAGUUCACGAACAGGUUUUUCCCCACUUGGAGUUUUCACAGUGGCAUGGUUAACGUCAGGAUACUGAGUAGAAGAGUGAUUGCCCCAGAUGAUAACAUUCUUUACAUCACUAACUUGAACGUUUAGCCUUUCAGAAAUCUGACCCAAUGCCCUGUUAUGGUCUAGCCGAGUCAGACAGGUGAUGUUUUUCUCAGAGAUUGACGGAGCAAACUCUUUCAGGAUCAAUGCAUUGGUGUUUGCUGGAUUAGCCACAACCAGCACCUGCAGUAAUCGAGCAUAAAGUUUCAAGAUAUUAAUCACCCGCAUACUUUGCUGACAUUAUAUAUAAAUGGAAGUAAAUUUUUAAGUAGGUAGAAAGAAGAAUGUUCUCAACCUAGAUUGCAAAGAUGCGCUAAAGUAUACUCAAAAGUGAGAAAACUGCUUAAAGCCCAAAUACCCAAACGGACUUUGUAUCAUGCAAUUAAAUCUUCAACAGCCUAAAGUGAAUACAGAGCUUCAUUCCACAUUCCCAAAGAUUUACUAGCUGGAACUCGAGCAUAUACAUAAACAGAGGCACAGUUCAGACGCUACAUACCUUGCAAUUUGGAGCAGCAUGCUUCUCAAGAGCAGAAGCUUGGGAUUUGUAUAUUGAAACGUUUUUCGACAUGACAUCUUUCCUUUCCAUUCCUUCUUUCCUAGGGAAUCCGCCAACCAUAACGGCUAUGCUGACUCCAGUGCACGCCUCGACAACAUCAGUUGUUGCAACAACUCCUACAAAUAUCAUUUUACAUAUCUUAGUAAAAAUAUGAUAGCAAUACUCUCAUAGAUCUAAUAAUAUCUUUACAAAAGUGGGAAAAGACUAAAGAGAUCUACCCUUAAGAAGAGGGAAUGCUGCAUCAACCAACUCCAUUUUAACCCCAUUAAGCGAUUCUGCAGCCGGGGGUAUAUCGAGCAUGUGCAAGAUAACAGGCUGGUCCGGACCCAGCAUCACUCCUCUAGCAAUCAUAGGAACAAGUGCAUAUCCAAUUUGGCCUGUAAACAAAAAACAAUAAGAAAAUCUGCUAGAUGCUAUAAAGUAAAGCUCUAAGUAAAGGGGGCAAAAAGAUUACAGAUAACAUUAAGGAGGAAGUGGGUUUUAUAACUUAACAAUAAGCAUGAAGAAAAUGUAUGUUAGGGGCAAUCUUGGUUAGCUAAACAAUCCUCCCGAUAACUACCUUGACCACGAAGAGAUUACUCGAGUUACAAAAACAAGAUGCAACAAAAAGUUUCACACAGUAAGUGACGAGCAUGGAAAUAAUAAUAUAAAGCAAACAAUGACCUAAUUUGCUUGACUGUUGUGAAUAAAUACUUCGAUUGGUGGCGCAUUACUUUUCUACGUUUCCAUCAAAUACAAAACAGAUCAAUCGGACAAUCUACAGGAGGAAGCAGGUUUGUUAAGCCCCCUAACAAUAUACAGCAAGAGAAUUAACUUAGAAACUCUCUAGACGAACAGAAGGAUCUUUGUUCUAACAACUUUGACCAACAAGAGUAUGUAUAGUUAUAAAUGAAAGAACUAACAAAGAUACUCAAACGACAAGAAACAGAUCUGGAAAUAUAUAACAUGAAGAGCACAAUCCCUAAUGCGGUAAAUUGCCGAACAAGUUUAGUUAGUAAUGAUUUCAAGCAGCUACUAUCAUUACAACACACAUAUGAAGAAAUGCUACAUUUUUAGGAUCGUGACAAGCACUUCGAAGUUACAUGAUACUGAAUAAUACUAUACGAAAGGAUUUUUUUAAUCUUCGUACCCCUAAAAGCAAUAACAUAUAGAACUCGGAUUGGAAUCCUGAAAUGUUUCUAUUUGAGUUAAAGAUCAUGGCAUAUAGACCUCAGAUCUUAAUCCCUUCUCCAAACACUAUCUCUAUAAACUCAAAUUCCACGAGAUCCUAGUAAUUAGGCACGAAAUUGAGACCGAAAACACACAGAUACACAAAAAUUCAUCUAGGAAGGAUCAAAUACAUAAGGAUCCAAAUAGGAGACAUCGGGUUUUCGAUCAGAUCUAAGGAACGAUCGAUCGGAUCGCAACAAAGCUCAUCGCAAAAGGAUCUGGCGAUGGAUUCGUACCUGCGGCGCCGGUGACGAGGACUCGGACGGGAUCCUUCGCCAUUGGAGAGGCGAUAAAGAGAGAGAGAGUGUGCGCGCGCUCGCGGGGGUGUGACCGGGUGAGUGAGAGGGAGACGAAGAGAGGGUUCUAGAAGAAGAGGGGGGCGGAGACGGCCAAUGAGCAAAGGGUAUUGCUAUUUAUAUAGACAGUGGCGAGAAGCGUUAUGAGUUGGGCUCUUAAUAGGCCGUAUAUGGGCCUCAGUAAAUUGGGCCUUGGCCUAGUAUGUCUCUGCGUGGAUAAGAAAUUAAGCCCAAAUUCGGAUAGAGAGAACAAGGGUCAAAUUAGAGUUUAAAUAAUUUUUGGGUAAACUUCAUAUACCUGUUUUCGUAAUUUCUCAUUUUAAUACCCUAUGUUUUAAAGUACAACAAUUUAAUACCAUGGUUUCAUUUUCUCUUUUUGUCGGUUGCUCCAUUAAAAUUUCGUUAAAUUAUAUGCAAAAAAAUUUCAGAUAUCCCAUCUGGGUUUAUAGAAUAUUCACUUUACUACCUUUCAGUUUUAACUUUGUCACUGAUUUAACGAAAAAAAAAUUAGCGGAGGUAAUAAUAAAAAGAGAAAAAUGAAACCGCUGGGUAUUAAAUUGAUAUACUUUAAACCACAGAAUACUAAAAUAAAUAAGUGCGAAACUAUAAAAAUAAAGAUAUUAAAGGUAUUAAUUUAUUUUUUUUUUCUAAUUUAUAAAAAUAAAACUAAAUUUAAAAUAUUUUUUAAAAGGAGGCUAGAUAGGCAAUUUUUAUUUCCAAAGAUCCUAGACAAGGAAAUAGAUCUAUCUUUUGUUGACUCAAGAAGUGAGUCUUUUUUGCAUAUCUUUUGGCUUACGAUGUAUCCCAAAUUAAUACUAUUGAAACGUGUGAGGUAGUAAAAGAUAAAAUGAGUUGUACGAUACUUUUCUAUUAAAAUGAUGCUAUAAAAAUAUUGUUUUUACAUUUUUAUGCAACAUGAAUGGUGUUGUUUCUAUGUAAAAUAAUUGUUUUAGGCCCCGUUUGGUUGGGAGAAUAAGCGGGGAUAAAGAAAAUUAUUCCCGCUAUUCCGCCAAACGGGAUGAAAAUUGGCCGAGAACUUUGCCUCCCAUUAGGGGCUGGAAAUUAAUUUAUCCCAGGGCUUUUUUAGCAUUUAGUCCCUGGCAAUUUUUUAUUUUAAAAAUAGUCCUGUCAAAAUUUAAUUUACAAAAAUGAUCCUAGACCUGCCACGCAGGCGCCACGUCAGCGCCACGCGGGCGGGGCUGGAGGCGGUAGUUAAGUUAAACAAGGUGAACCAUUCACCGUGUCUAAAUACGGUGAAUGGUUCACCGUAUUUAGUACGUAUUUUUUGUAUAUUGAAAAGAGGAAUAGGAAAUUUGUAUUCAUUUUCUUCUCUUUUUCAAAAAUCCGAAUCCGAACCCGAAAAUCAAAUUAAAAUUCAAACCCGGAUCCGAAUCCGACGGAUUUUAAAAAUUCAUACCCAUAUCCAUAUCCGACCAAAAACUCAAAACCCGAACCUGAACCCAAUGGGUUUUAAAAAUCUAUACCGUUGGAUGAAGAUCUAAGAAAUAAAAAUUAUUAAAUAUUUUAUAUUGUAUAAAUAAAUAAAAAUAAAUUAUAUAUAUAUAUAUAUAAUUUAUUCGGAUUUGGAUUCGGAUAAUAUUUCGAAUAUCCAUAUCUAUUGACAUCCCUACUCCUUAUCCCUCUUUUCAAUAUACAAAAAAUACGUACUAAACACGGUGAACCAUUCAUCGUGAACACGGUGAAUGAUUCACCAUGUUCAACUUAACACACGGGUCUGGCCUUGCCCGCGUGGCGCUGACGUGGCACUUGCGUGGCAGGCUCGGGGCCAUUGCAAAUUAAAUUUUGACAGGGCUAAUUUUAAAAUAAAAAUUUGCCAGGGGACUAAAUGCAAAAAAAGCCUUUUAUCCCACAAUAAUUUACCCACUAUAGAAGAUUUUUAUUUAAGAUUAUAACUUACGAAAUAAAUUUUAGCUCACUGUAAAAUUCUCAAAAUUAUGAUUCAGGGCAAUACAUUCGCCCUAUGAGAUUAUUUAUCACAUUCUAAGAGAAUUCACUGCACUCCCAGAAGAGAAGAAAAAAAAAAGAAAAAAAAAAGAAAAAAAAAAAGGGUAAACUUCAAAUACCACCUCUAUGAUAUUUUAUUUUUUUACUUAAAAAACCAUAUAGUUUAGGGUGCGUUUGGUUCGCGCUAUUUUUUAAAGAUUCCUAGUAAUCCAAUGGAAAUAAAAAAAUAUGACGGUGUUUGGCUAAACGCACUAAGUAAUCUAGUUGGCAAUAUUAGAUUCACUUGGGAAUAAGAUUCACCCUAGAGUACUAAUCUCAUUUCCUUGAGGAAGGGUGAGUAUCCUCAUAUUAAUGGAUUGGGAUAAUCAUAAUAUGUCUAAUCUCUUUCUUUUUUCUUACCCGCCGGCUAAUUGAUAUUAUUUUUCUUUACACUCUAACCUUAUUUCUCUCUCUAAACUUAUUUUUCUCUCUAAAAUUCAACUUUUUUUUUCUCUCUCUAAACUAAGCUUUCUCUCUCUCUCUUUCUAAAAUUUCAAUUCUCUCACUCCCUCUAGUUUCGACUAUAUUUUUCUUUCUAUUUUUUUAAUUAUGCUCUCUCUCUCUAACUUAUACUCUCUCUCCUUUUUUUCUAAAAAUAUGUUGAAACUUUUGUUAACAUUAUCUAAAAUUAAUUAAAUAAAUAAAUAAAUAAAUUUUAUAUUUUUUAUAAUAUUAAAUAAAAUGGCUAAUUAAUAUUACCGUGCGAACCAAACACAAAAAUUUCACAUUUUUAGUAAUAGAAUGAAUAGGAAUAAGAUUCUCGGAUAUCUUUUAUUCCUAGUAAUCUUUCAUAAUGCGAACCAAACGUACCCUUAAAGUGUAUCAAAUUAGUGUAAUUGUGGUUUUAUUUUUUUUUUCUUUUCGUCAGCUCCUCUGUUAAUAUGUUAUUAAAUUAUAUACAAAAAACUUCAGAUACCCCAACUAAGUUUAUCGAUAUUCACUUUAGUACAUUUUAGUUUUAACUUUGUCAUUGAUCUAACGAAAAAAAAAAAUAGUAAAAUGAAUAAAAAAAGAGAAAAAUGAAAUCACAUGACACUAAUUUGGUACAUUUUAAACAAUAGGAUACGAAAGUGAGAAAAUGCAAAACCACGUGGGUGGUAAAAAAAUGCAAAAUUUUAUAUAGUAAUGACCAUCAAUAAAAUUUCUUCAUAGCAUAGAUAUAUAACACACAAUUUUCUUUUUAUACAUUAAUUUUUAAAAAAAAGGAGCCUAGCUAUACAGUAACAAAUGACAAACCAAAAAAAAAAAAAAAACAACAAAACCCUCGUAUACAUGUAGAGAGAGAGAUGAGCUCCUCCUGUACAUUUAAAAGCACAGGUAUUCAACAUAUUUGUAUUUAUUUUAGCCGUAUGAUUGCCUCAAGAUUCAUACAAUACGUAUUAGUAAAAAAAACUUAAUGAAACACAUCAUUAAUAAUGUUAUAGAAUCUUAAAGAUGAUUUGAUGGCAAAAAAAUUACAAGCAAAAUUACUUGUGUGUUUUAAAAAGCGUGCGGGAGCUCAAAGUCUAUGUAUAUGUAUGCUUUAAAAUUCACGCUACGUACACGUACGUAUUAAACCCCUCGAGCCAACAUCUCCUGGAACUCCACAAGCGACCGUUGGCUUUGGAGCCUCAUCUCCUCCUUAAACCUCCGAAUGAACAUCUCCGCUCUCAAAUCCACCUCUCCCAUCCCCCUCACCGCGCUCGGCAUCGACGCCUCCCACGAAGCAGAAGCAGAAGCAGAAGAAGUAGAAAAUCCAAGCGGCGCACCGAACGGACUAUUCGUCUCACUCUUCUUCGACCCUUUAACCAGCUUAUCGUCGACCUCCGGUUCUACGUGCUCGACGCGCGCCGGUUCGGGCUCGUUGUAGAGAUCGUCGACGUAAACCGGCGCGGAGCUUCCGUGCCGGUGUAAGGACUUCGGGGGACGGCUUGUUCGGCGUCGACGGUCGCAGGUGGGGUCGACGGUGUUGAACCGUGCUAUCGUGCGCGCGACGAUCGUCGAGCGCUUGAGUUUCGAAACUCUUGUUCGGAUUGCGGAACCGAGCUUCUUCCACGCCUUUUUAGUAGGUAGGAGGUUGUGUUUGAGGCCCAUGCAAAACAUGAGAAGUGAUGUGUGAGUGUUUGUGUGUGAGAGAGAGAGGGAUAUAGGGGUUUGGUUAUAAGAGUGAGAGGGGAGUUGUGGAGGUCUAGGGGGUUCUUAUAUGCUUGUUGAAUAUAAUUAAGGUUAAGUGUGAAGUGUGAGAUGCUUUAAUUAAGCUUAAUUAAGUGCCUUUUUCUUGAACCAUGAUAUACAUAUAUAUGUUUUUAUGGGAGUUAUUGCGUGAUAUAAAAUGAAAGGGUGUGUAAAUAAUCUUUUUUUUGAGAAAAAGUGUAAAUAAUCUUCGCUUUUGGCAUCAUCUUGUGGGUAAGACCUACGCUAUGUGGUUGACUUAAUUUGGGUGGCAUUGGAGCAUCUCUUCUUACUUUUCAAGGGAGCUGUUGCUAUGACCAUAGUACCCCUUUAAUGCUAGAGAAAAAUGGAUCCGGGUUGGUGGAGCUUCAUCGGUCGCAAUUCAUUCCAAAUGAAAAGGUAAGUUGGGGUUAAAAAUAAAAAAAAAAUAAUCUAACACGAAUCGUAAAAGAAAAAUAGAUCGAAAGGUGGGAGAACCCUUUCUUCUUAAAAUCUGUCCCAAUAUGCUAAAAAAUUUAUAAAUUUGUUCUCGUUCCGGUCUGCCCUAAAAGGAGCAGUAAGUGGGCAUAAAAAAAAAAAACAAUCAACUCGUGAGAAGUGUUGUCUGAGUACUAGUAUUAUAAUUUUUAAAAUUUAUAUUUCUGAGCUUUUCAAAAUAUGAAAUUAAGGAUCUUAUGACUCCACAGUCUUAAAGCACGUCUUAUAAUCCCACCUCUUUUGCCUAAAAAAGAAUUUAGAAUUUUUUUUUUUUUUUCGAAUGAUCUAUUGGAGACUAUUAUUGCUGAAAAUAGAAGUAGAAACGAGACAUCAAAAUACUCUCAUCUUGCAAGAAGUUGUACCUCAUAAAUAAGUCAAUAAAAGCAAAAUAGCCAAGGCAAAGGGCAAGAAAGUCAUUUCAUCUCUUCUAAGCAUCAAAUUGAAUAUAUUUCAACGAAAAGCAAGGGAUUACUUAAUAUACUUUGUCCCUAACCAGGUAUUAUAUU